UUUUAUGGAGAGUUUGAUCCUGGCUCAGGAUGAACGCUGGCGGCGUGCCUAAUACAUGCAAGUCGAGCGAACAGAUGAGGAGCUUGCUCCUCUGACGUUAGCGGCGGACGGGUGAGUAACACGUGGAUAACCUACCUAUAAGACUGGGAUAACUUCGGGAAACCGGAGCUAAUACCGGAUAAUAUAUUGAACCGCAUGGUUCAAUAGUGAAAGACGGUUUUGCUGUCACUUAUAGAUGGAUCCGCGCCGCAUUAGCUAGUUGGUAAGGUAACGGCUUACCAAGGCAACGAUGCGUAGCCGACCUGAGAGGGUGAUCGGCCACACUGGAACUGAGACACGGUCCAGACUCCUACGGGAGGCAGCAGUAGGGAAUCUUCCGCAAUGGGCGAAAGCCUGACGGAGCAACGCCGCGUGAGUGAUGAAGGUCUUCGGAUCGUAAAACUCUGUUAUUAGGGAAGAACAAAUGUGUAAGUAACUAUGCACGUCUUGACGGUACCUAAUCAGAAAGCCACGG
rnacentral:rRNA from 1 species